AGAGCGAACGCUGGCGGCAUGCUUAACACAUGCAAGUCGCACGGUCGGGGUAACUCGGCAGUGGCGGACGGGUGAGUAACGCGUAGGUAUCUAUCCAUGGGUGGGGGAUAACGGCGGGAAACUGCUGCUAAUACCGCAUGACACCUGAGGGUCAAAGGCGCGAGUCGCCUGUGGAGGAGCCUGCGUCCGAUUAGCUUGUUGGUGGGGUAAUGGCCUACCAAGGCGACGAUCGGUAGCUGGUCUGAGAGGACGACCAGCCACACUGGAACUGAGACACGGUCCAGACUCCUACGGGAGGCAGCAGUGGGGAAUAUUGGACAAUGGGGGCAACCCUGAUCCAGCCAUGCCGCGUGGGUGAAGAAGGCCUUCGGGUUGUAAGCCUUUGUACGGAAGAAAGCUUCGGGUUAACAACCGGGAGUCAUGACGGUACCGUAAGAAUAAGACACCGGCUAACUUCGCGCCAGCAGCCGC
rnacentral:rRNA from 1 species